rnacentral:rRNA from 1 species
UACGGGGGGGGCAAGCGUUGUUCGGAAUUACUGGGCGUAAAGGCUCGUAGGCGGCCAACUAAGUCAGACGUGAAAUCCCUCGGCUUAACCGGGGAACUGCGCCUGAUACUGGAUGGCUUGAGUUCGGGAGAGGGAUGCGGAAUUCCAGGUGUAGCGGUGAAAUGCGUAGAUAUCUGGAGGAACACCGGUGGCGAAGGCGGCAUCCUGGACCGACACUGACGCUGAGGAGCGAAAGCCAGGGGAGCAAACGGG